UAUUAACAUUUCUUGUCGAUUAUAGAUUAGUCCAACAAAACCUCCAAUUAAAUGGGCAAUUUAUGAGCACCUUUAUGAAACUGAUUCUAAGUCAUUGACAAGAAUUUGUCCAAGACUCACCAAAAAUCACUUUCAACUUAACAGUUUCUCAAAGAUGAAAGUGAAGUUUGCUUCACAAGUAAGAUCAAAUAACUCCUUAUGAAAAAUGAAAUAAAAACAUUAUUUAAUAUUGUGUAAAUUAUCUUGUAUUUAACAGAUUUUCAGCAAAUCAGUAGCAGAUAGUAUAAGAUUUUUUAAUACUAAAUCAUACCCAGGGUUCAAUGAAUGUGAGGAAACAAUACAUUUUACUAUUUUUAUGAAUAAUUUAUUUGUCGCCCUCAAUAGAAAAUUUCCAGCAGAAGGGAUAAAAAAAAAUAGUCAAGAUUUGGAGGUUUUAUUAAAUUUUAUGUGUUGCACGUUUCUAUCUGAUGUUUUGUGGUACUAAAAUCUUAGGAAAGUAUUUUAUUUAUUUGCUAAUUAAUAAUUUGUAGUAGAGUAGGUAGUUGUAGUUUUUGUAAAUUUACUAUAUUUUAUUCAGUGAAAUCAAUUAGUUCGGUACAUAAAUAUGUUUGUUGGUUAAAGGUAUUGAAAAACGCACUGACAGUUUUACAUACAUGGGAAUUAAAUGUGGCCAAUAAAUUACUGUCCGAAGAUGACUUUAACAAAACAAACCGCUAAAGGAUUAAAAAUAACAAUUAAGUCCACAAUAGAAUUGACAAAUUAUCUUCUUGACGAAUGCAUUUUCCUUAUGUGUUGACAAGUAAAACUAAUCAAGACUGCUUAGAAGUAAUAAUUAAAUACCAACUAUUAAUUAUUAUAUAUAUAAAAUUAUUGAUUUCCUAAAAAUAUGGUUCAUUAAUUGUAUGUGAAUUUAUUCUCUUUAGAAAUUUUUUGGUACCAUUAGACAAGUUGCUGGUCCCGAUGACCACUCUACUACACCUACAUUUUUACAACUAUACAGAAUGUUAUCGGUAUAUUCAAUAAUCAAGCCCCCCAAAUCAGGAAAUUGUUGGAUACUAGAAGAAAAUAUCCCAGUUAUUACAAUCACAGACCUAAAAACUAUUUUAAAUGAUAAAAAUGAUGUAAAUUUAAGGGAAAUUAAAAUAAAUAAUUUAAAACAAAAAAUUGAUUACAUUGUUGAAGAACGUCAAUGGCAUUUUUUGAGGAUGUUUUUAGCGAACACAAUUAUAGUGAUGUCAGUUCUACAGCUUUUGAGUGUGCAGUUUAUUUUAUGGCAGGGUAGGUAUAC